UACGAAGGGGGCUAGCGUUGUUCGGAAUCACUGGGCGUAAAGGGCGCGUAGGCGGCGCGACAAGUCAGGCGUGAAAGCCCCGGGCUCAACCCGGGAAUUGCGCUUGAUACUGUCGUGCUUGAGGCCGGGAGAGGAUGGCGGAAUUCCCAGUGUAGAGGUGAAAUUCGUAGAUAUUUGGAAGAACACCAGUGGCGAAGGCGGCUCACUGGCCCGGUACUGACGCUGAGAUACGAAAGCGUGGGGAGCAAACAGG
rnacentral:rRNA from 1 species